AGGGUUGGACACUUAUACUGAGCCACCCAGGCACCCUAAAGCUUAUGUCUUAAACAAAGAGUAGUGAACAGAUGGAUGAGGGAUGACAUGUCAGUUUCUCAAUCUAAAGCGCUGGCUAAGACAACUAUGCUUCUCACCUUCCUUCAAUAACCUCAAAGCUGGAUUGUUUUUGGUGACCAAUCCUAUUGCCACACCUGCGACAGCAGAUGAAAUUGGAACUCCUAUAAUUGAGAAGAAGAGCUUGUAUGUAAUGUGUACAUCAACCUAACACACAUAUUUAUCAUUCUGUUGAUAUUUAAUGUAAGUGAGUGCUAUUUUAAAUUUGACAUCAUCAGAGCCAAGCUGGAAAGGUCAUCUAUCUACCUCAUUUCUUUUUAAGCAUAUGAAAAAAGCCCCUUAAAACAAAUAAACAGGUAAUCACUUUUCUCACAAAAAUCUCUAUAAAAAUAGCACACUUAACUCUUAAUAGAAUCCAUUUGUCUUUUUACUUUUGGUAUGUUUAUCUUCUUUUUUUGGAAAUGUAACCAUGUUAUUGGUAAAUCCCUCCAGCCUAAACCCCUCAUCUCACCUCUCCAUGAAAGCCAUCAGUAGGUUUUUUUGUGUGUGUGUAUCCUCCCAGAAAAUUUGUGCCCAAAUAUGAAUCAAAGUGUAAUCUUUUGUUCUCUUUACUUAUGGAAUCACAGUGAAUGUGCUCACUAUUCAGCACCUUGCUUUUUUCCACUUAAUAACAUACCUUGGAUAGUGACACAUAAUGCCACACAAAGUUCCACCUUAUUUUUUUGAAUGGCUGCUCAGUACUCCCUGAAUGGAUUUAUAAGCCACAUAAUAGAAGUGGGAUUACUAGGUCAAAAGGUAUGUGGGUUUACAUUUAUUAUAAAUCUGUCAAACUGCCUUCCAGAGUGUAGCAUUUUAUAUUUCUACCAGCUGUAUUUGAGGGUGCCUGCUGCUCUACUUUCUUGUUAAUUCCUGUCAGAUCUUUUGACCUUUGUUAUAUAAAGGGCAAAAAUGGUAGCUUAUUGUUUUUAAUUUGAUUUUUUUAUGAGUGAGAUUAAACUUUUUUUAAUGUUUAUAAACUGUUUAUUUAAUUAAUUUAUUUAUUUAGGCUCCAUGCCCAGCUAUGGAGCCCAAUGCAGGGCUUGAAUUCACAACACUGAGAUCAAGACCCAUGAUGAAAUCAAGAGUUGGACGCUUAACCAACUGAGCUACCCAGGCACCCCUUAUAUUUCUUUUUCUGUGAAUUGCCUGUUCAUGGCUUUCAACCAUUUUCCUACUUGUUUGUUAAUCUUUUUUCUUAAUGAUUUAUAAAAGCUCUUUCAACAUGGACAGUACAUCUUUGUUAAAUAUAAAUGUAGACUAUUAAAGGAAAUAUAUUAUUUUCCUAGUCAGUUGACUUUGUUUAUUGUGAUUUAUUUUCCUGUAUAGAAUUUUAAAGGUAU